CCUACGGGAGGCAGCAGUGAGGAAUAUUGGUCAAUGGGCGCAAGCCUGAACCAGCCAAGUCGCGUGAGGGAAGACGGCCCUACGGGUUGUAAACCUCUUUUGCCGGGGAGCAAGCCUGAGCACGUGUGCCCAGGCGGAUAGUACCCGGAGAAAAAGCAUAGGCUAACCCCGGGCCAGCGGCCGCGGUAAUACGGAAGGCCCGAGCGUUAUCCGGUUUUAUUGGGUUUAAGGGGUGCGUAGGGGGAAUGCCAAGUCAGCGGUAAAAUGGCGGGGCUAAACCUCGCUACGCCGUUGAAACUGGCGGUCGUGAGUGGGAGAGAAGUAGGCGGAAUGCGUGGUGGAGCGGUGAAAUGCAUAGAUAUCACGAAGAACUCCGAUUGCGAAGGCAGCAUACGGGCGCCCAACUGACGCUGAAGCACGAAAGCGUGGGUAUCGAACAGGAUUAGAUACCCCAGUAGUC
rnacentral:rRNA from 1 species